UGUAGGGGGUCUCGAAGACGAUGACAGAGGGCUUGGUUGGUUGCCAUAUUGGUGUAACAAGAUGACAGUGAGGAAUUUCAGCUGAGCCAAACUUCCGGCGACCUAGACUAGGGUUCCAAUCAACUUCCGUGAGCAGUUAGGGAUUUUGGCGAGGAGAUUAGGGUUCCGGCGAAACCCUUUCACUACAUGUUGUCACCUCUGUCGACAAUGAUCUUUGUGGAAUGCAGGAGAUGGGGGUUGUCACCAGGCACUUAUAUAAUGCAGAAGUUCUAAGGCGCGUAUUAGCAGCAUAAAGGAAUCUAUUGCUGAUGCAUUUUUUGGUCUUCAAAGGGAAGAAGACAUCGAUCGAUAGAGUGAUAGAGUGCUGAGAAACAUUAUUUCUUCUCUGUUCAACUGGAUUUCUCGUAGGACCAAUCAUAUGGAAACUUGCUGGAACUCUUGGUCCUCGAAUCUCCUUUGUAACUUGUAAUAUGCCAUAGUUGUUCUUUGUUUUGUUCGUUUGUAUCCAACAGCUCUUUGCUGGAGGCGUUUCUUUCGCCUUGUUUUAAUGAUAUCCCC
rnacentral:lncRNA from 1 species